GGACGCGCGCGCAUGGUAAGGUCCCGGUCGCAAAUCUUCAUUUCGUCUGCGACCCGCGCGGGACGCCGAUGGUGACGUCACUCACAGCCGCCGCCAGGGAGAAGGAGCAAGGCACGGGCCGGGAGGAGGAUGAGGAUCUGCUGACAAUGUGAGGAGCCUAUGAUGUCCGGGCAUCAGACUCUGCAGAGAAGAUGGAGCUGGAAGAAGUCCUGGCGUCUGGACCAGAUAAAGAAGGAAAGGAAAGACAACAGAGAAGACAUCACUCAGGUCACUGAUAUAAUUGUGUGUUCUCCUGACUGUCCCAUCAGCUCUGGAGUCACUUGUAAGUUCCGUAGUGAUGAUGGGUGACAAUUUACCCCAUUCUGUGGCUCUGCAGCUGUUUCAAAACGGCAACUUCCUUAAUUCCUGAGUCUCUUCAGACAUGAUGGGAGUAGCAGCUUAGCAACAGCUGGAGAGCCACUUGAACCGAGGGGAUUGGUGGGGGUCCCAGCAGUCUGACCCCCACCAUAAAAAUGGGCAUCUUAUUUAAAAAUGCCCGGGCCUAUUUUUGGUCCCAGUCCAGCCCUGCCUGUCAGUCACU